rnacentral:lncRNA from 1 species
CACAUUGAAUAUAUUUCAAAAACAAAGCUCACUAAAUCUUUGAAAUAAAAGCGAAAGACUGUGUCACUUAUGCCACAGUCCACUUCCUCCUUUACACUUCUCCCCUAGCUCAACAGGAUGAAAGCUCCACUCCAAAGAGAGCUGUCUCUCCCCUAAGCUGCCAGUCAAGCAUUCUAAGGUAUCUCCCUAGGCAGGAUGGACAGGCUACCAGCAUUUUUAGAUCCCCCCUCCCUACUUUCCAAACAAAUGGGGUCAAGACUUCAAGGACUCCUUUCCACCACCAACCCAUUUAAAGCUCCACUAGUUCUACCCAGAUACGAAAGAUGGGUACUACUGGGGUCCAGUUAUCCUCACCCAAGUUUUUUCACAGUGAGAAUAUUCUGUAGUGGAAGAAGCAAGCUGAGCUGCCCAGUGCCUGGCUCAUACAGCCGGAAUGGUACUCCAAGUGAAGUGAGUCAUUGUCCCUACUCUUGGAUCCAGUGCAGUGGCUCCAAAAUUUUACCAGAGGGAGAAGGAGGCAAAAAGAAUGUCAGGAUCUCCGUUUUGGGAGGCAUAGAAACCUGCUGAGGAGAGAUGGAGCCAUCCCCAAGCCUGAGAAGAUGAGCAUAAUUGACUUAUACCAAACACUUCACUGCUCACUGUGGAUGAAAGAUGAACAACCACACAUCUCCUUUCCUUGAAAAGCCCAUGGGGUCAAAGCAGGGGUGAUGAUCCACAUGGAAGUAUUAUCAAGUCUUGGAUCCAGUUCUCUCAGCAAAGCAUAGAGCUGCCACUGAGUUAAUAAAGAAAUAAAAUUCCUAGACAUUACCUCAUGACACAGAGUCCAUGAAAAUGUACCAAGUUUGGUCCUUUCUAGCCAAGUUCGCUUUGGGAGGUGACUAUGCUAUCACACUCAGUCCUUAACGUUUUCCCUACAUUCUCCAGAGGAACCCCUUGCCCGGGUGCCCUCUGAAUGAGUCACCCGGCAGAGCUACUUCAAAAGGAGAACAGGUUUGAUGACUGGUUUUCUUUUCUGAGUAGGAGGAUUAAGAGUAGUGGCUUGCUUAGCUAUGAAUCAGCAAAAAUAAGGAAAGUACAUAUUGGACCCCGUGCUCCUUCUUAGCCAACCAUGACUUCUGAAGGAGACCAGAGCCCUGGUGGAGAAUAUCACUGGUCCACCAGUCUCAAGACCUCCUCUUGGUUCCACAUGAACCAUAAAUGUACAAAGUCACCAAACUUAAAGGUAUUAAUUUUAUCACUGGUCUGCUGUCUUAGUUAGGGUUCACUAGAGGAACAGAUUUAAUAUAAAAUAUGCAAUCACCACCUGUGCAAUCAAGGGUGAAAAAAUGAAAAAUGGCUGCCUACACUGGAGGCCUGGAGGAUCCAGUUGAAGACUGAAGGCCAAGAGCUCACUGUAGAGUCCAAUAUGAGUCUUUGUUAGAAAUCCAAAGGGUCUACAUUCGAAAGCUGAAGAGUCUGCCCUGGAAGCUUCAAGGAACUAAAGAUGAACAUCCAAAUGGAAUGGCAAAGACUGGAGCUCCUCAAAGAAGAGAAGGAAAGACUUCCUUCUUUUCCUUCUUAUUCUGUGCAGCCUAUAAGCCUGUUGGUUAGUGCUAUGCAUAUCUGUGGUGUGCCUUUCCUCUUUAGUUUGAUCUACUUACCAGUUAUCUUCAGACAUACCCAGAGCUUUACUGAUCUGCUAGGUAUUUCUUACUCAAGCCAAGUUGACGUAACACAAUUAAUGAUCACAUCUACCUUUUGUAGAAAUUGCUGGGAACUGGUAUUUCUUUCCUAACAUACAAGCCUUCCUGUCCUCCCUUACACAUUUUUGCCUAUUCUCCCAUCACCAUGCAUUUAGAGAUAUCCUGGCCUUCUGCUAGUUGUACAAUGUGUAUUUGUCCUUCCUCCAGAGACAUUGUUACAAGAGCCUGACGUCUUGGGAAUGCAUCCCAGAGGUUCUACUUUAAGCUUUUGGGUUCACUUAUGAUGACUCCCUGUGGCUCAGUUUCUGCAUCUAUAAAAUGAAGAUUUACCACCCUUCCCAGAUUCCCAUGGGCUUCCAAUUUAUCAGUGUGCAUCACUGAUCCUAUCUGUACUGUUCCCCACACAGACCAUAUUUGUGGACCACAAGCCUGGCAACCAUGAUAUUUCAGACUCAUUCUGCAUCUGGGCUUAUGUACUUUGUGAAAAGUCAUCAAAUUGUACCUAUUAUUUAUGCCUAUAUACCAUGCUUCAAUAAAGUAUUUACUUAAAACUUUUGCAGUUAUGUCACAACCACUGAGCCAGACAGGGCUUACUUUCUCUGCUCUUUUUCCCCUCUCUUUAGUUUAAAGAAUUAUACAUGCAUAUACAUUUAUUUUAGAAAGCAAAAUGAAACAGCAAACAAAUGAAAAUUAAAAAUGAUGCAUGCUCAUUCCCAGCACCCAGACAAUCACUGCUAAUAUUUUACCAGGUGUAUAUCAUCUUUGCAAUAAAAAAACUUAUGUUAAUUGUGCUUUAUAAUCCUUGUGAUGUAACCUACUUGUAGUUCAAAAAUAUAAUUUUAAAGCAUGCUUUCUAGUUCAUUAAAU